rnacentral:rRNA from 1 species
GACGAACGCUGACGGUGUGCUUUAGACAUGCAAGUCGAACGAGAAAGCCCUUCGGGGUGAGUACAGUGGCGAACGGGUGAGUAACACGUGGGCAAUCUGCCCCUCGAAGGGGGAUAACCGGGGGAAACCCGGCUAAUACCCGUACGCUUGCGGAGCCGCAUGGCUCUGCAAGGAGAGGUAGCUUCGGCCAUCCGGCGAGGGAUGAGCCCGCGGUACAUUAGCUAGUUGGUGAGUAACGGCCACCAAGGCGACGAUGUAUAGCUGGUCUGAGAGGAUGAUCAGCCACACUGGGACUGAGACACGGCCCAGACUCCUACGGGAGGCAGCAGUCGGGAAUCUUGCGCAAUGGGCGAAAGCCUGACGCAGCAACACCGUGUGAGCGACGAAGCCC